AGAGUUUGAUCCUGGCUCAGGAUGAACGCUGGCGGCGUGCCUAAUACAUGCAAGUCGAACGAAGCGAUUUGGGAAAUUUAUUUUUCAGAUGGACUGAGUGGCGAACGGGAGAGUAAGACAUACGUACUCUGCCGUAAAGACUGAGAUAACUUUGAGAAAUUAAAGCUAACACCGGAUAGGAAUUAUUGAGGCGUCUUAAUAAUUUUAAAGGGGCUUAUGGCCUUGUUAUACGAUGAGCUUAUGGCGCAUUAGCUAGUUGGCAAGGUAAUGGCUUACCAAGGCAAUGAUGCGUAGCCGGCCUGAGAGGGUGACCGGCCACACUGGGACUGACACACGGCCCAGACUCCUACGGGAGGCAGCAUAUAGGGAAUUUUCGGCAAUGGGGGCAACCCUGACCGAGCGACGCCGCGAGAGUGAAGACGGUCUUCGGAUUGUAAAGCUCUGUUAUCAGGGAAGAAUAAGGUUAUCAGGAAAUGGAUAAUCGAUGACGCUACCUGAUCAGAAAUCCACGGCUAACUACGUGCCAGCAGCCGCGGUAAUACGUAGGUGGCGAGCGUCUAUCCGGAAUUAUUGGGCGUAAAGGUCGCGUAGGCGGUUAUUUAAGUUUAAGGUUAAAGUUCAUGGCUCAACCCUGUGAUUCCUUAUGAAACUGGAUAGGUAGAGUACAGGAGAGGUUAGUGGAAUUCCAUGUGUAGCGGUAAAAUGCGUAGAUAUAUGGAGGUACACCAGUGGCGAAGGCGGCUAAAUGGCCUGUAACUGACGAUAAGGCUAGAAAGCGUGAUGAAGAAAUAGGAUCAGAUAUCCUAGUAGUCCACGCCGUAAACGAUGGAUACUAAGUUUGGGAGAAUCUCAGUGCUGUAGUUAACGCUAUAAGUAUCCCGCCUGGGGAGUGUGCGCGCAAGCGUCAAACUCAAAGGAAUUGACGGGGGCCCGCACAAGCGCUGGAGUAUGUGGUUUAAUUUGAAGCAACGCGAAGAACCUUACCAGGUCUUGACAUACCACGCAAAAGCACAGAGAUGUAUUAUAGUUAUGGUGGAUACAGGUGGUGCAUGGUUGUCGUCAGCUCGUGUCGUGAGAUGUUGGGUUAAGUCCCGUCACGAGCGCACCCCUUCAUUGUUAGUUUCCAGCAUUCAGUUGGGCACUCUAGCGAGACUGCCGGUGAUAAACCGGAGGAAGGUGGGGAGGACGUCAAUUCAUCAUGCCCCUUAUUUCUAGGGGUACACACGUGUUCCAAUGGUGGGUACAAUAAGACGCAAGCCCGCGAGGGGGAGCAAUAUUGGAAACCCGAUCUCAGUUCGGAUGGUGGGCUGAAACUGGCUUCCAGGAAGCUGGAGUUGUUAGUAAUCGCGAUUCAGCAUGUCGCGGUGAAUACGUUCCCGGGCCUUGCACACACCGCCCGU
rnacentral:rRNA from 1 species